rnacentral:rRNA from 1 species
GACGAACGCUGGCGGCGUGCUUAACACAUGCAAGUCGAACGAGUGGCGAACGGGUGAGUAACACGUGGGUGAUCUGCCUUGCACUUCGGGUUAAGCUUGGGAAACUGGGUCUAAUACCGGAUAGUGCAAGAUGAGCUCGCGGCCUAUCAGCUUGUUGGUGGGGUGAUGGCUAACAAGGCGAGAGGGGUAGCCGGCCUGAGAGGGUGACCGGCCCCGUUGCAACUGAGUUACGCCCACGACUCCUACGGGAGGCAUCAGUGGGGGAUAUUGCACAAUCGGCGAAAGCCUGAUGCAGCGGUGCGGCGUGGGGGAUGAAGGCUUUCGGGUUGUAAACCUCUGUCGCUAUCGAACGGGUAGGUGGAGAAGAAGCGCCGGCUAACUACGUGCCAGCCGCCGCGGUAAUUC